UCAGACGAGUGCACUUCCAGUCUCCAGAGGUGAUCUCUGAAAAUGGCUCGCUAUUCACUUGACCCGGAAAACCCGACAAAAUCAUGCAAAUCAAGAGGUUCAAAUCUUCGUGUUCACUCUUA